UGUCAGUUUUGAAGGGUUUAACGUAGGCGGCAUCAACCUCAACAACUGUCAGCUGAUGACCAGCAAUCUUGAAGAAGAGCUCUUCAUUAAGUGCAGCAUUGAUUAUCCUAAGCAUGUAGGUCUUGCCGGAACGUACUGGUAAGGUUGAGACAGGUCCUGGAUGGCCAUUAAUGGUGUGAGCAUCUGAGACAUUUGGUGCCAACCCAGAUUUCAUGGCUUCAUUGACCACAGCUUCAACAUCUGAUUUCCACCAUUCACCUACAACUCCAAAAAAUUUCAUAUCAUUAUCAUCUCUCUUUCAUAAAUUGCAGUUUCUUGUAGUUCUAAAUUAAACUUGAUUAAUUAAGCUCACCUAGUAUAACGACUUCUUCCUUAUAGGGAGUGGGAAAUGGAUAAGGAACACCACGCUUGGGCAAGAUAACGAUGGCACCAUGGACAGUGGCCCUGAGCCAGAGGAUAUGUGCAUGCCACCACAAGGUACCCCUUUGGCCAGUAAUAGUAAAAUUGUAGACAAAGUUCUGCCCUGGCUGGAUAGGACACUGAGUUAUGUACGCUGGACCAUCUGCCCAGCCAGUUCUUAGCUGCCUAAUCCCAUGCCUAAAAUAACAAUAAUCAUAUCAUCAACAAAUGCUUCUCAUUCUCAUGUUAAUUUACCCAAAAUUUUUAUCUA